AUCUUUGGGGCGCAAUUGUGUGGUAACACACUACACACUGGUGUGGCAACACGCUGUGGUGGCUGGAUGGGCCAAUGUAGACAGGACAAUAACGGCAUCCCAAUUCAAGGGAAGAAGUCUGUUGAGAGGGCUGCCCAGGUGCUCACAUGCACAGUGCAUGUACAGAAAACAGACCCAGCUGAUUCUUGAUGGCAGUUGGGUCCAGCUGGAUGCAGCAAGUUCACAAUUCAAUAAGUAGUUCGGGAGAAAAAGCAGAACUUUAUUGACAGAUUCAUAAAUAUUCAUGAUUGUACAGGUACUUGGAUAUGGGUACGGAUGAAGUUGAACACAACCAAAUGAUGUGUGCUGGGAAUCAACACAUUUUCAGUACUCGUUCCCUUUCCUAGACGGGCAACACAUAUUGCUUUAACUGCCUUAAGGCAAAUUUCAAUUGGUUUUAUUGCUUACAUUCCAACACCCAAGAUAAGACAGUAGUAAGACGUCCAAAUUACAAUACAAAUGUAAAUGCACCAUUGUAAAUUUGUUCUUGUGGGCCCUUGUAAGUCAUCCUCUCAAAAACCAACAAUGUUGUAAAAUCUAUAAUGUACACGUGGCCCAGUUUACAACCCUAACCCAUGUUUCAACAUGUCCCAAAUCCAAAUGCCGAUCAUUUCCAAUUAAUACGCUCCUUGUAGAACAUCUCAACUGUCUGUUUCUUUCCACUCCAUGCCUCCGUGGUAAACUCCUGUUACUUUCUUUCAUCCCGGGGGACGUGAAAUUCUGUGCCACAAACAGGACAGUGGGAGCUGGCAUGUUUUCAUUCAUAACACCCCCCCAUAUCCCAGAACUGUAAUAUUCCUCGUAAUGGAAACCAAAUUUGUCUCUCUCUUUGGACAGUGUCCUGUUUACGUCACAUCAAAGCUUCCUAAGAGCAAUGUACCUGAUUGCAUGAACUUGGACCCUCUUAAAUGAUUAUUUUCAUCCAAGGGCAAGUAGGCCUAUACUAUGCUGAUCAGGUCCUGCUUAUCAAGCAAGGCUGGAAAAUGCUGGAAAGUAUUCUCCCAAUGAUUUUGGACUUUCGCUUUGAGCAACAUGACCCAACCAAAAGUAAGGGAUGGCACAUUGUGUAUGUGAGGGGGACACCAGAGGCCUGUCAACAAGAAGAUAAUAGCCAAGCCUGGCAAAUACGGAUUUACACAUGCACCAUGAAUAACUAAUGAAUCGUGUGUUGGAGAAUACUAUUACUAACUGACCUCCAUAGCGGAUUGCUUAUACAUACACUGUAUAUAUGUACUGUACCACUACCUAACCAUAUCUAUACAACUUGGCACUGCACCCAUGUGGGUCAUUCUAUAAAAAUCAAAUGCUAGACGUGACAGGAACAGGAAAAAAAUUGGACCCCAAAUUUAAAGAAUGACCUGUGUUUCAUUUCACAAUCUUAAGCCCAGGCAUGCACAUAUCGUUGCUGUGAAAAUCACCCAAAUGCCAGUUUCCAUUGCUUGUCAUCAUAAUCGCAUUAAUUUAAGGAGACAAAUUAUUUUGAGACUACAGAUAUCCCGUUAAAAAGCUUGUUUUUAGCAGGAAUACUAGAGUGAAAAUAGUGGGCGAAGGCCUAGCUUAAAAGGCGAAGUCUACUUAGCAUUCAGCUGGAUGAGCUUGAGGGAGGGGGGAUACUGGAUGCUUAUGGGACUUCACUAUUAGGAGCAAUCUGUCCAACAAUGGAAUGUGGCAUGUAUAAGUCAUUUCACAGCACACCUCCAGUCUAUUCAUGGUUUGAAGUGCGCUACUGAAAAGGAGAGAUAAAAUAUAAAAAACACCACUAAUGUUAAGGUUUGCAUCAAGGCGAAAAAUGCUCAAGUUGCUUAGGUGCUUGAGUACUGUUUUUAACAACCAUGCUAACUUCAGCUGCAGCUUGCGAGCAAUGUCUAUGUUUAACAUCUAGGUUGGCCCAAAAGUGAAUAUAAUCAACAACAACUACAAAAAAGACUUUGCUAGAUGAACAAUAAAAAAUCAAAUUCCUUGAACAUCA